AAGUCCACGAUCUUCUGCAUUAAAUGCAUGCACAUGGUCAUGUGCAUGCAUGCUUGUAGAAGAAUAAAGUUGGUCAGCUCUUGUAGGCGCCGAAGUCCCUCUUUCACGGUUUCUCUUGUUUUUAUUGAUAAAGAAAGAGGGAUGGCAGAAUAAAGAAAGAGAGAAGGCAGAAGCUAUUCUAGGUGUGUCAGUGCAUGAUGGUCAUACGCUUGCUUCUCUCCAUGAACAAGAAAUUCGAAGAUGGCCGCCCACCUCAGCUCACGGUUAUCUUCAAGGAUCAUAGGCGCACGUUUGUUGACUCUCUUCCGCCUCAUUAAAUGCUUGCCCAUGCACAUGCACGAUCUGCAUGCAUGCCCGAAAUAUAUGGUGGGCGUUCGGUGCCGAUUACGGCUUGUCUUGUGGGCGCCUGCGCUGCAGCAUUUAAUGAGGCCAUUUAUUUGUUUUGUCUUGUCCUCUGCCGUUCUCCCUAUAUAAGGAGAAGACGUCUGAAGAUGCGAAAGACACAGAGAGCAAAAACAGAAAAGAGCUCGAGAGAGAGCGAGAAGAAAGAGCUCGAGAGAGUGUGAGAGACGAGAGAGCUCAGAGAGGUUUUGUGCUGAGUUGAGUCCAGUGAGUUGUUUUAUUAAACACCGUGGGUAUCGGGUAUAAAGUAGAGCUGGGAAACACUUGAGUGCAUAUGUGUGAUUGUAAUCCUGUAAUUCUCCGAUUUAUAGUGGAUUGAUUUGCUGGCUCUCCC
rnacentral:lncRNA from 1 species